UACAGAGGGUGCGAGCGUUGUCCGGAAUCACUGGGCGUAAAGGGCGCGUAGGCGGCUUGAUAAGCGUGCGGUGAAAGCCCGGGGCUCAACCCCGGGUCGGCCGUGCGAACUGUCGAGCUGGAGCACUGUAGAGGCAGGUGGAAUUCCGGGUGUAGCGGUGAAAUGCGCAGAUAUCAGGAGGAACACCGGUGGCGAAGGCGGGUCUCUGGGCCGAUACUGACACUGAGGAGCGAAAGCGUGGGGAGCGAACAGG
rnacentral:rRNA from 1 species